rnacentral:sRNA from 2 species
GCCAAUGAUACUGCGUGUAUAUAGCUAGCAGCCGGCCUAAUCUUCUAGGGGCCAGCGGAUCAUUCUGAUAUAAUCUGACCCCUACGUUCUACGACCUCAAAUAUCUAACCAUUCAAUCUGAAUCCUCUCCGAUAUAUCACCGUAUUAUCUCCUAUAACUUAAUCCUUGUAGAGUCUUAAGGACCUCUUGUGAUAUAAGCAGCCAGUUCCAGCACCGCUACUUACACUGAAUUUGAUUGGGUAGAUAGAUAGAAAAUUUGAGAAUUUAAAAAGUUGAAGAUAGAGCAGCUGAUAGAAUACAAUAUAGAAUAUAAUAGUAUCAGUAGUGUCAAUAAUACCAGUAGUGUCAGUAAUAAUCAGUUGAUGAAAAUUAUUAUUAUUAUUCUUCAUUUAUAAAUGUAUGCAGUCAGUGACUAUAACAUCUAUUUGAAAUAUUUCCGGAUUUUUCAAAUCAAGAAUUAUCUGAUAUACAAAAAAAAUUUGGUACGUGUAUUAACAGAAUUCCAGCUCAAAAUCAAACAACUAUUCAAAAUAUUCAAUCAAGAAAAAUGAUAUCAAGAGAAUAACAAUCAGUCAGCAUAAUUCAACUCAAAAUAAAUGAAAAAAAAAUUGUAAAAACAACAACUAUUAGAAGAAAAGAGUAAGAAGUACUUUAAUAACUAUAAUAUCAACAAAUAAUAAAUCAAACUUUUCAAAGCAAAUGAAAACUAAUAAUAACUAAGAAUAUAAUAAAUAUUAAAACAAAAGAAAUAAACUUAAUAAAAGCUACAAGACAAACCUCUGCAGUUUACAUCUUGAGCUAUAUACAUAUUUUAACACCCUAUUAUAUUAAAACGCAGUGGCGCUUUUUAGCUGUAUAAAUUGAAUCUGAGCAGCGCAAUACUUUUAAUAGCACCUCUUAUAUAAUAACAUAAGCAUAAUAGAUAUGUGUCCGCGUUUAAUAAUUGGCUAAAAGUCGUCACAGUAUCUAACCUGUGGCUGUGAUCCUGGAAGCGAAACACAAAAAAUGCAGUUCUCAGGAACAAAUGGAUUUGUUCUACAUUCUAUAUUUGUGUGACAUGGAAUAGUAGUACAGAACUCAAAUCUAGAGAAGAUAGAUUUGUCAAAUUGAUUGUUCUUUAAAUUGACGGUGAUUUUUCGAAACUCAGCCAGUUUAUUAAUAGAUGGAAUAUGAUGCUGAAUUGAAUGUCUACUCUGAAUAAAAUCAUCAAUAUUAUUUUCAAUAUUAGUUAAUUAUGAUUUUUAAAUAUUAUAUUUGAUAAAAUCUUAGUUUAAAAGAAUGUAAAAAUAUAUUUUAUUACUUACUGCUGUUACUG